CUUUUCCAUCCUUCUCCCUCUUUUCUCCGCCCGUUUCACUCGCCGUGGCCGAUGGACGCACCACCGGAGACCACGGCCACUCCGAAAACGGCGGCGAUGAGAAGGCUCAGCCCUUGGCGCAGACCCGCGAGGCGGCACAGCGAUGGCAGCAACAUUUUUCUCCAACCCGUUUCCGUUUGAGGCUACGACAGAUGUUUCUUGGUUUCCUCAGACGUCUGCGGGGUAGACCAUGCUGCCCGCCGUGAGGGGAGACGCCGCCCCAGGCACGAGCACCCCGCCGCCGAGAAGCUCGUCCAUGGCCAUGGGCCUGUCACCAUCAGUAAGUGCAAGAAGAAAGCUCCGAGGAAGAUCCACAAAGCCGAUAGGGAGAAACAUGAGCCCGACCUGCUCAAUGAUCUCUUCAGUGAACUUGGCAAAAUAGGUCAGUUAAAUAGGUGCUUUUAGUAUUCCACUCUCAGUCAUACACCAUGCCUGGUACUACGGGUCCUGCUACAAAAACUGAGGCUUCAUCAGUGAAAAAAUGCAGGUAAAUAAGUUGGACAUUGAGUGCUUGGCUUUAAUUUGGCUACCUGCCAUCAGUUCUAACUACUAAACUCAUUUCAGGUGCUUCAACUUUCACAGGUCUUCCUAAUUAUCUCUGUUCGAAACCGUCAGUUGCAAAUUCAGGUUCUGUCGUCGUACCUCUUGAUUCCUAUUUUUUAAAAGACCUCUUGACUCCUAUGACAAACUAUUUUCCAAAACCGUGGAGUUUUCUGACUCUUGCAUUUGUUAGGUUAUUUCCUUCUUCUACUUGGUUUAUGCCCACAAUAGUUGCAGGAUUGCACUUGCACAUAGUGGAUCACCUGCACAUGUCAUUUUUGUUGUAUAUGUCUUUGCUAAGAACUCCUGGAUCUCUAAGAAAAUUGUUAGUCUGAGUUUAGGAUUUUAAUUUCCAAUCUGUACAGGCCCAUCUUUAAAUGUCGACUGUUACGAGAAGAUUAUACAAAAGUUGAAUAAAGGAAUAUAAAUAAUACUUAUGCAAGGGUAAUACUUUGGCAGUUCCACUGAAUUCAAGCUUCAAGCAUCUGAGAGCAAGGCUGACAACUGCUGAGCAAGAUGAUCCUGAUAAAACAAGGGCAGCAGACUAAAUAGGUAAAGCUUGGUAUAACUUGCCACAUUUUGACUUAACUUGGGACCCAUGACUUCCAAUUCUGUCUACCAUUUGGCUUCUUGAUGUUGCAUGGGAACUCCUGGAGCACGUACAGUUGUUCAUUGCAAAGUGGGAUUUAUACAUGCCUACGUGUUGUCCAAUCAUGUUUGCUUACUGUAUGGUGUAUAUGCAACGAGGCACCCUAUGAGAUUUGGAUUUAUAGUUUUUUAUUCCAAAAAGUGGAAACAUAAACUCCGCCGCUGUAAAUUACAAAUUAUUUUGUUAACUUCCUUUCCAGCACAUUUAGGGUGUAUGAUCUUGUGCAUAUUACAUGUAUAGUGUUGUGCACCAAUCUGGUUGAUGUUUACAUAAUCCAAGCAGAUUUACCAAUUAGAAGAGCCAUGUAUUAUUGUAGUUUUCUCUCUACAUCAAGUACACAUAAAUCUAAUGUCGUAGAAUGUAGUUUCUUUUAUUGUUCUGCAGAUCUUCCCCGUGAGGCGCUACAGAUCAGAUGGGCGCUGUCGUGAAGGCCGCGAAGGCGUGGCCGGCGGCAUGGGUUAGCCUGUGGGUGGUACCACCGUGCUGCUCUGGACGUGCAUUGUGGUGCUGCUCAUGGCGGCUUUCGAAGGGAGACAAAGUGGUAUGUGCUUUUCUAAACAUAUAUAUUCCUGAAGAACCUUUUUUGUAGUCCCGAUGAAUUGAGCGAUUUGUUCUCUUGUGUCUCUUCUCCUUCAUUUCUACCUUGAUGCAGCAGGACAUAGAGAAUUUGGGGGCUACUCGGGUUUGGAUCAGCAAGCCAUGUCUGUUUCGUUUGGCAAAGGCCUUUUAUCCUUUUUCUAUAAUGCCAUGAACGUCUCUGAAUUUUUACACUGCUUCCAGCCGAUGCUUAAUAUUUUUUCCAACAUAUUUGUGACUGGAGCCCACACAUACAUAGUCAUGGAUCUGAUUUUGUGUUUUGGAUCUUGCUAUUUCACUGAUUUGGAACAUCUAUAUGCAGUUCUAGGCUUCUAGCUAGAUGGAUUAAUAGAUAUGUUGGACCUAUGCAUUUUAUAUUACCCGCAUGGAUCUAUGUUUGUUAUUUGAUGCUCGUCCUUAUCCCGGGGAAGAAUUUUUGCGAAGAGAGGUCAUUUUUGGAGAUAUGGAUUUGUUGUCACUUCAGCAGUAUGCUUUUAGUGCUACAGAGUAUGCUGUGAAAUUAGAUUAGAUUGAUGAUUAGCGAUUAACUAUAGAACUGUUGGCAGCAACAGUUUAACAUAUGUUGAUUUCUGGCCCAUCUUUAUUUGCUUUAAACUAUGAAUUUGAAAACAAAAGAAUUAUACAUUUGUUGAUGCUAAAUUUAUCGGUCCUUUUGUUUUGAUAAUCACCUCUUGCAUAUGUGUUCCUGCGUAGUUUUUGUACUGCCACAGCUUGGUUGUUUUGGCAGGAUAAUGUAUUUUCUUAUGAAAAACACGAAUGAGUAAUUACAUGAUAUAUUAUUAAUAUUAGACUAUGUUGUUUCUCUGAAACUAACUUUGUAUUUCAGCUUUGGAAACUGGUGUUCUAAUGUUAGUUCCGACAAGAGGGCCACUAUAACCACCAACUAGUCUGAGUUUCGUCGCCAUGCCAACAUUCACGAAGGAGACGUCUGUGCAUUUUGUUUCAGGAUCACUUAAAAGCGCCGCCUGGUUUUCACCGUGCACCGCCUCUAGAUGCACCAUCGAAGACACUGUAGCCCCUGUGUCAAUAUAAUCUAGCACUAAGUACUCUUAAUUAUGCUCUAUCCUGUGAUAACCUAUGGUUUGCUUUUGGCCCUAUCACAAGCUUUUCAAGACGCUAAAUCUAUCUUGUUGCUUAUGUAAAGUGCACUAUUAUCAGUCAGAUGUUUCAUGUUCAGAUCCAUUGUAACGCCUCGAGACCGAUGUGCCAGGUGUCUUCCAGUUA